rnacentral:rRNA from 1 species
UACGUAGGGGGCAAGCGUUGUCCGGAUUUAUUGGGCGUAAAGCGCGCGUAGGUGGCUUCGUAAGUCCGUUGUGAAAGUCAAAGGCUCAACCUUUGAAAGCCGAUGGAUACUGCGGAGCUAGAGUACGGAAGAGGCGAGUGGAAUUCCUGGUGUAGCGGUGGAAUGCGCAGAUAUCAGGAAGAACACCCGUGGCGAAGGCGGCUCUCUGGGACGGUACUGACGCUGAGACGCGAAAGCGUGGGGAGCGAACAGG